rnacentral:rRNA from 1 species
UACUCGAGUGGCGAACGGGUGAGUAACACGUGGGUGAUCUGCCCUGCACUUCGGGAUAAGCUUGGGAAACUGGGUCUAAUACCGGAUAGGAACCAUCUUUAGUGUGGUGGUUGGAAAGUUUUUUCGGUGUAGGAUGAGCUCGCGGCCUAUCAGCUUGUUGGUGGGGUAAUGGCCUACCAAGGCGGCGACGGGUAGCCGGCCUGAGAGGGUGUACGGCCACACUGGGACUGAGAUACGGCCCAG